rnacentral:sRNA from 1 species
GCCGGGCACCGUGGUGCACACCUGUAAUCCCAGCAACUCUGGAGGCUGAGGCAGGAGGAUGACAGGUUCAAGGCCAGCCUCAGCAACUUAGCAAGACCCUAAGCAACUCAGUGAGAUCCUGUCUCAA